AUGGUUCGUCUUCAUUUGUCUGCUCAAGACCAUGAUGGCUGGAUGAGGGUUGGUCAGAGGAACGGUAGAAGCGAGGCUAUGGAGUUGGGAGAUAACAAGGGUUUGGUGGAUAGGAAGAGUAAAAGUGGGAAUGAAGAGUGGUGUCUUGGAGGUGAAUUUAAUGAAGUUGUUUGUAGAGAAGAAAAAUUAGGGGAAGGAGUUUAUCACAAUAGAAGAUGCAUGGAGGAGUUUAGAGGCUUCAUCGAGGAAAUGGGAUUGGUUGACAUUCCUUGA